UACGGGGGGGGCGAGCGUUGUUCGGAAUCACUGGGCGUAAAGGGCGCUUAGGCGGCCCGCACAAGUCUGCGGUGAAAACCCCCGGCUUAACCGGGGGCCGGCCGUGGAAACUGUCGGGCUGGAGGCUGGGAGAGGGCAGCGGAAUUCCCGGUGUAGCGGUGAAAUGCGUAGAGAUCGGGAGGAACACCGGCGGCGAAGGCGGCUGCCUGGACCAGUCCUGACGCUGAGGCGCGAAAGCUAGGGGAGCAAACAGG
rnacentral:rRNA from 1 species